rnacentral:rRNA from 1 species
CCUACGGGAGGCUGCAGUGAGGAAUAUUGGUCAAUGGACGCGAGUCUGAACCAGCCAAGUAGCGUGAAGGAUGACUGCCCUAUGGGUUGUAAACUUCUUUUAUAAAGGAAUAAAACGAGGCACGUGUGCCUAUUUGCAUGUACUUUAUGAAUAAGGAUCGGCUAACUCCGUGCCAGCAGCCGCGGUAAUACGGAGGAUCCGAGCGUUAUCCGGAUUUAUUGGGGUUAAAGGGAGCGUAGAUGGGUUGGUAAGUCAGUUGUGAAAGGUUGCGGCUCAACCGUAAAAUUGCAAUUGAUACUGGCAGUCUUGAGUACAGUUGAGGUAGGCGGAAUUCGUGGUGUAGCGGUGAAAUGCUUAGAUAUCACGAAGAACCCCGAUUGCGAAGGCAGCUUACUAAACUGUGACUGACAUUGAUGCGCGAAAGUGUGGGUAUCAAACAGGAUUAGAUACCCCUGUAGUC